rnacentral:rRNA from 1 species
UACGUAGGGUGCGAGCGUUGUCCGGAAUUAUUGGGCGUAAAGAGCUCGUAGGCGGCUUGUCGCGUCGGAUGUGAAAGCCCGGGGCUUAACUCCGGGUCUGCAUUCGAUACGGGCAGGCUAGAGUUCGGUAGGGGAGAUCGGAAUUCCUGGUGUAGCGGUGAAAUGCGCAGAUAUCAGGAGGAACACCGGUGGCGAAGGCGGUUCUCUGGGCAUGACCUGACGCUGAGGAGCGAAAGUGUGGGGAGCGAACAGG